CCUACGGGUGGCAGCAGUGGGGAAUAUUGGACAAUGGGGGAAACCCUAAUCCAGCGACGCCGCGUGAGUGAAGAAGUAUUUCGGUACGUAAAGCUCUAUCAGCAGGAAAGAAAAUGACGGUACCUGACUAAGAAGCCCCGGCUAACUACGUGCCAGCAGCCGCGGUAAUACGUAGGGGGCAAGCGUAAUCCGGAUUUACUGGGUGUAAAGGGAGCGUAGACGGUGCGCCAAGUCUGGAGUGAAAUGCCGAAGCUUAACUGCGGAACUGCCUUGGAUACUGGCGGACUAGAGUGCGGGAGGGGUAGGCGGAAUUCGUAGUGUAGCGGUGAAAUGCGUAGAUAUUAGGAGGAACACCGAUGGCGAAGGCGGCUUACUGGACCGUAACUGACGUUGAGGCUCGAGAGCGUGGGGAGCAAACAGGAUUAGAUACCCGUGUAGUC
rnacentral:rRNA from 1 species